AUACCCUGUGAGUAGGGAACGUUUUGUUCGCCUAACAGCGAUCUCUAUUCGCUGGGUAAUA
rnacentral:pre_miRNA from 1 species